UAUAAACUAAAAAUCACGAUUUAACGGUUAUUUUAACUCCGAUUUUGAUGAUUUUUUACAGCUACACUCCUUGACCUUAUAUGAAUACAAUGAAUGAAUUCGAUCUUCAAUUUAAAAUAUUUACACUAGUGGAUACCACAAAAUCUUAUGUUAUACUUAAUGAAAGUAAGAAUAAACUCUUAAGUGUUAGUGAAUCUAUUGUUUUGAUGAGAUACGCAUUCUACGAAACUCUACGAAACUAGUUUCAACGAUCUAACCGUCAUACUUGUUUGUAUAUGUUUCGAGAUCGCAUACGCCAAAAAUUGCAAAAAACAAACAUUUAAAGAUUAAGUAAUGGGACAAAACUUUUCGACGGUUAUAAACUAAAAAUCACAAUUUAACGGUUAUUUUAACUUCGAUUUUGAUGAUUUUUUACAACUACACUCAUUGACCCUAUAUGAAUACAAUGAAUGAAUUCGAUCUUCAAUUUAAAAUAUUUACACUAGUGGAUACCACAAAAUCUUAUGUUAUACUUAAUGAAAGUACGAAUAAACACUCUAGUGGGUCACUUUCAUUAAGCUUUGAGUUCCAUU
rnacentral:lncRNA from 1 species